rnacentral:rRNA from 1 species
CACUGGUACUGAGACACGGACCAGACUCCUACGGGAAGCAGCAGUGAGGAAUAUUGGACAAUGGGCGAGAGCCUGAUCCAGCCAUGCCGCGUGCAGGAAGACUGCCCUAUGGGUUGUAAACUGCUUUUACAGAGGAAGAACCACCCCCACGUGUGGGGGUUUGACGGUACUCUGCGAAUAAGGAUCGGCUAACUCCGUGCCAGCAGCCGCGGUAAUACGGAGGAUCCAAGCGUUAUCCGGAAUCAUUGGGUUUAAAGGGUCCGUAGGCGGGCAGUUAAGUCAGUGGUGAAAGUCUUCCGCUCAACGGGAGAACUGCCAUUGAUACUGAUUGUCUUGAGUUAUUAUGAAGUGGUUAGAAUGAGUAGUGUAGCGGUGAAAUGCAUAGAUAUUACUCAGAAUACCGAUUGCGAAGGCAGAUCACUAAUAAUAUACUGACGCUGAUGGACGAAAGCGUAGGUAGCGAACAGGAUUAGAUACCCUGGUAGUCUACGCCGUAAACGAUGGUUACUAGCUGUUCGGCCCAAUUGAGGGCUGAGUGGUUAAGCGAAAGUGAUAAGUAACCCACCUGGGGAGUACGUUCGCAAGAAUGAAACUCAAAGGAAUUGACGGGGGCCCGCACAAGCGGUGGAGCAUGUGGUUUAAUUCGAUGAUACGCGAGGAACCUUACCAGGGCUUAAAUGUAGUCUGACAGGUCUGGAAACAGACUUUUCUUCGGACAGAUUACAAGGUGCUGCAUGGUUGUCGUCAGCUCGUGCCGUGAGGUGUCAGGUUAAGUCCUAUAACGAGCGCAACCCCUGUGGUUAGUUGCCAGCGAGUAAUGUCGGGAACUCUAGCCAGACUGCCGGUGCAAACCGCGAGGAAGGUGGGGAUGACGUCAAAUCAUCACGGCCCUUACGUCCUGGGCCACACACGUGCUACAAUGGUAGGGACAGAGAGCAGCCACUUCGCGAGAAGGAGCGAAUCUACAAACCCUAUCACAGUUCGGAUCGCAGUCUGCAACUCGACUGCGUGAAGCUGGAAUCGCUAGUAAUCGCAUAUCAGCCAUGAUGCGGUGAAUACGUUCCCGGGCCUUGUACACACCGCCCGUCAAGCCAUGGAAGCCGGGGGUACCUGAAGUCGGUCACCGCAAGGAGCCGC